UACGUAGGUGGCAAGCGCUAUCCGGAUUUAUUGGGCGUAAAGGGAACGCAGGCGGUCUUUUAAGUCUGAUGUGAAAGCCUUCGGCUUAACCGGAGUAGUGCAUUGGAAACUGGGAGACUUGAGUGCAGAAGAGGAGAGUGGAACUCCAUGUGUAGCGGUGAAAUGCGUAGAUAUAUGGAAGAACACCAGUGGCGAAAGCGGCUCUCUGGUCUGUAACUGACGCUGAGGUUCGAAAGCGUGGGUAGCAAACAGG
rnacentral:rRNA from 1 species